AACAUUCUAGUUAGGCAUUUUUCAUAUAUACUUUUACUGAAAAAAUAUAAUUAUAUAUACUUACACUUAAUUGACUAGUUGUAGAAAAAUAAUCCAAAACACACACCAGUACAAGUAGUAAAAGUUGUAGGAAGGCUAGGGUGCAAAAGCCUUUAAAGUGAGCGGAAAGCAUUCAUAUGAAGUUAUUUGCCAUGGAAAACUCUCAGGUUACCAAACUUCUGGUUUUGCAAAAGUAAAAGUGCCUCUAUUAGAGAAAAACACUGGAGAAGGAGAAGCUUAAAAAUCUCCCUAAGUAAUACCUUCCUAAGUUUAAGUAAUUGGAAAAUUUGGGUAAGGAGAGAACUUUUUUUCUUUAGUUUUAAUCUUAGUGAUCAUGAAAAACAUUGAAUUUCAAAUGGUAAAAAUUUUGACCACAAUCAUAGCUAUCACCACUCCGGAUUUGCUCAUUUCUCAAAAAUUAAUUACGUUUAAAAAACCGAAGAUAGAUCAUCAAACCAAACCAACACCGUGAUCUAAUGAAGCUGCCGUGUAUAUUUGCAGGAGUUGAGUGUGUUUGCUUACUAUAAUAGUUUAAAAACAGUUUUUCAGUUAACAUCUUUUCCACAUAAUGGAGAUAUUAGGGUAGGUUUACACGAUUGUGCAAAGGGUCAGAAGUUGUUUAUGUAGCUCUGAACUGCUGAGAUGUGCAGGAAGACCUCGGUUCAGCAAAAACCCCUUGAGGCUUUUUGCCCGAGAGAGAAGCUCGGUUCUCUUGGGGUUGCUGGAAAGGCAUUUCAGAUGAGUUCCACAGGACUGGCUUUCCUCCGCCUGUCAGACCCACUUUGCACAGGGAUUAUGAGGGCUGGAGCAUCUCUGAGGUUUGAGUUGAGGUGAAAGAAGGCAUUUCUGCAAGGAAACAGUAGAUUCAUGCUGUAGAAUGACCAUGGUAACGCCAUUAUCCAACGCACAUGCUUUCGAAUAACAAGGCUUUUAGUAUGCCCACCCACGCCACAAAUCGAUUCUUCUACCUAUUUCAUCGCAACCAUUUCUUCUUCCCCACAUACAUUCUAGCUUUCAAAUCACGCUGAUUGGAUGAGAUUCCAGGUCCAUAACGCUGCCUAUCUGGCCAGUGUCCUCUCUCUAAGGGUAGGCAGGUGAAACCUUCAAAAAGCCCCCUCUUCCGGCAUUUUAAGUUCAGUGCCA
rnacentral:lncRNA from 1 species